GAUGAACGCUCGCUACAGGCUUAACACAUGCAAGUCGAGGGGCAGCGGGAUUGAAGCUUGCUUCAAUUGCCGGCGACCGGCGCACGGGUGAGUAACGCGUAUCCAACCUUCCGUACACUCAGGGAUAGCCUUUCGAAAGAAAGAUUAAUACCUGAUGGUAUGAUGAGAUUGCAUGAUAUCAUCAUUAAAGAUUUAUCGGUGUACGAUGGGGAUGCGUUCCAUUAGGUAGUAGGCGGGGUAACGGCCCACCUAGCCAACGAUGGAUAGGGGUUCUGAGAGGAAGGUCCCCCACAUUGGAACUGAGACACGGUCCAAACUCCUACGGGAGGCAGCAGUGAGGAAUAGUGGUCAAUGGACGAGAGUCUGAACCAGCCAAGUAGCGUGAAGGAUGAAGGUCCUACGGAUUGUAAACUUCUUUUAUAAGGGAAUAAACCCUCCCACGUGUGGGAGCUUGUAUGUACCUGAUGAAUAAGCAUCGGCUAACUCCGUG
rnacentral:rRNA from 1 species